AUGCUCGCUUCAGCAGCACAUCUACUAAAAUUGAAACGAUACAGAGAUUAGCAUGGCCCCUGCACAAGGAUGACACACAAAUUCGUGAAGAGUUCCAUAUUUUU
rnacentral:snRNA from 1 species